AGCAACUGGGCAGCUUAUCUUGCACAUACACGAAUUCCAUCGAUUUCUAGCUCCUUAUCAUAUAAGUCGCAACCAAUUAAUACGAUCGUCUGAUGGACGACAACAACAGGAACAACUCGGAGCCUCCUCCAGGCUACCCGAGGGUGGACGCAAAGCGGCAAGGAGGCGGCGAGAAGAAGAACAAGUGCUGCGGGCGACCACGCCGCGCGACGGCCAAGCGGGGCGAGGCGAGCUUCAUCGAGGGAUGCAUCGCCGCGCUCUGCUGCUGCUGGCUCUGCGAGCUCUGCUGCGAUUGAUUAGCUGAAGAGGACGCGCCCAGUUGUGCACACGGAGGCGCGCAUGCAUGCAGCAAGCUAGCUAUGUAAUACUAUUUAAUCUGGUCGAGCGAGAGGAGAUUGAUCUCAAAUGAUCGAUGAUAAUGAUGUACGGCAUAUAGACGUCUUUUAGUUGUGUUCUGAAUUCUGAUAUCAUCCCUGAAAAAA